UACGUAGGGCGCAAGCGUUAUCCGGAAUUAUUGGGCGUAAAGAGCUCGUAGGCGGUUUGUCGCGUCUGCCGUGAAAGCCCGGGGCUCAACCCCGGAACAGCCUUUAAGACUGCAUCGCUAGAAUCCGGGAGAGGUGAGUGGAAUUCCGAGUGUAGAGGUGAAAUUCGUAGAUAUUCGGAAGAACACCAGUGGCGAAGGCGGCAUCCUGGUCCUAUUCUGACGCUGAGGCGCGAGAGCGUGGGGAGCAAACUGG
rnacentral:rRNA from 1 species